rnacentral:rRNA from 1 species
UACGGAAGGCAGCAGUGGGGAAUAUUGCACAAUGGGCGCAAGCCUGAUGCAGCCAUGCCGCGUGUAUGAAGAAGGCCUUCGGGUUGUAAAGUACUUUCAGUCGUGAGGAAGGUGUUAAGGUUAAUAACCUUAGCAAUUGACGUUAGCGACAGAAGAAGCACCGGCUAACUCCGUGCCAGCAGCCGCGGUAAUACGGAGGGUGCGAGCGUUAAUCGGAAUUACUGGGCGUAAAGGGCACGCAGGCGGUUAAUUAAGUUGGAUGUGAAAUCCCCGGGCUUAACCUGGGAAUGGCAUUCAAGACUGGUUAGCUAGAGUCUUGUAGAGGGGGUAGAAUUCCAUGUGUAGCGGUGAAAUGCGUAGAGAUGUGGAGGAAUACCGGGUGGCGAAGGCGGCCCCUGGGACAAAGACUGACGCUCAUGUGCGAAAGCGUGGGGAGCAAACAGGGAUUAGAUAC